rfam:Oryza sativa Japonica Group DNA, chromosome 9, cultivar: Nipponbare, complete sequence.
AUUAAACGCAGUCAUGAAUUUUUGUAUCAAACUUUGAUUGUCCAUCUUAUUAAAAAUUAUUGGUAUUUUUAUUAUAAAACAGGAAUACUACAUUUUACGCGACUUAUGUAUUUUAAAUUUUUGAAAAAAAAAUAAGAUGGACACUUAAAGUUAGACAUGAAAACUCAUGGUUGUGUUUAAA